CAGGUCCCCAGUUUGGGCUCACCCUAGGCAAGAGCUGUCCGACAAGGCCUCACUACCCACGGCGUGGUCCAGAGGAAGUCCUCGAGAGCCAAGAGGUCCACUUCCGGUCAUGUGGGUCUGGGCCCCCAGGAGGAGGACCCUGGAGGGUCCUUGGCUCCUCCAAUCAGCUGACCUAAGGCCAACUCCUCACACCAAAGACUUCAAAUCUGUGAGCCUUCUGAUAGGAAUUCAAGGUACACCUCAUCACACAGCUCCUGCCUGAGGCUUCCCACACAUGACUGUCAUAGGAGACACAGCGAGAGAAGGAACACAAGCAGGGUGAGUGGGAGAGGGAGAAG